rnacentral:lncRNA from 1 species
UCUGACCAUGAAACUGAGAACCUGCUUGUGAACUCCUGCAGAUUUAUGGUAGUCAGCUGAAUUGCCCUGGCAUUGUCCAGACUCAUACACGGGCUUUACCCUGGGGUAGGAAGAACUGCACAUAUUCCUGAAAGUAAUUUAGAGUGACUGGAUAUGUGCCUGUGACGAGCUGGGGAGGACACACAAUCACUGCUAUUGGGAGGACCAGAGUCUGUAGUUCCAGAUGGUGCAUGUGGCUUCCAGCAUGCUCAGGGUUAGGGAUCCCAAGAUGUCAACUUGCUGUGUCUUACAGUGCUACUGAGUAUUACUGAAUACAGAUACAAUCUUGAGCAAGCGUGAACUGAUCAAAGCAUAGAGUAAGGAAGGUUGAAGUGUAUUCCCUGCUGUUUUGCAGUCUUCUCAUGUACUCAGAGACAAAGCUACUAUACCUUUGAUGAGGAAAGCAACAGGAAAAGAACACAUUCAGUGAGACGCUGUGACAUGACUCAGUACCUAGGGUUGACUCCAAGUACCUACACUGUCAAUCUGAGCAUUUCUCGCUUACAUGUAAGUCACUGCCUGGAAGCCGUAAUAUGCACAAGCUGACAAAGUACUGUUCCUCUGGGUGCAACAGGACCAACUCCCUGGAAAGUUAAAAUAUGAAGACUUUUG